ensembl:lncRNA
UGAACACUAAAACGCAUGUAGCAGAAAUGUUUUAAAGAACAACUGACUUAACCAAUGAGACCUCAUUUCAUAAACCUAACCAAAGUAACACUUAAUACUCUGCUAUUUCAUACUGCUAUUGUAUUUAAUCUUAGCAAAUUCAAAUCAAUUGCGGCGAUGAAAAACUUUAACUGGACCAAUGCUAUUUUAAUCCAGUUACCAAACCCUCUAUGGCUUCUCUCCCUUUUUUUCCUAUAAAUAAACUAUAACUGGCUUUGUUUAUUGCAGCUGAUCCAGACACAAGGCUGGACUGCUGGACUUCAGGGUCGCACUGUGUUACAUUGUCCGACAGAGGGAGUGAACAAGGUGCGCUUCUACAGUUCCACAAGAGAGAAACAAACUCAAUGUGUAUAGUUUGUCCUCCCUGGGGAAUACCGCUCCUGAUUCCCAAGUAGUCCUAAAUAGUGAACUUUCUGAAUGCUAUAGCUUAGAGCUUGUCUGUGGUAGUUCUACUUUUUGUUAAAAUGAGCAUUGUUUACAAACUCUCAUAAGAUGUCUAUCCUUGGUAGUGCCGUAAUAGCUUGAUAUUGUUACAAUGAAAAAUAACAGCCCUCAUUUUGUGCUAGCAUUGCGUAGGAUACAUUUACUUUAGUAUAUAAUCAAUUCACUUCAUUUUAAGCAGAGGUAGUUUUGACAUUGAUCUUUCAGUCGAAAUGUUGAGAUGAGUACAGGAAGAUAUCAAAGGACAAUAAAAAUUGCUUUUAUUAUGGAAGUAAAUCUGUGUCAUCGUAUUUCGAAAAUAAAAAGCCAUUCAAUUUUAAGCAUGAAUAUUUAUGCAUUGAAAUAACGUAUCUGGAUUUUUUGCCUCUGAAUUGAACUCUUUCGAUUUUCAACAAAUCAUUUUCACCUUUAUGUUUCAAUGUUUAAAAAAAUCAAAAUCAAAUAUUCAACAUUAAAAGAUGAAAAUUAAUUAUUUUCAACGUCCCCAAAUUCAACAGUUCAAAGUCGGCUGCCAAAUUCAAUGUAUGAAAUUCAUUGUUAACAUCAGGGGACCCAAAGGAUUCCCCAAUCCCCC